rnacentral:rRNA from 1 species
UACGUAGGGCGCAAGCGUUGUCCGGAAUUAUUGGGCGUAAAGAGCUCGUAGGCGGUUUGUCGCGUCUGCCGUGAAAGUCCGGGGCUCAACUCCGGAUCUGCGGUGGGUACGGGCAGACUAGAGUGAUGUAGGGGAGACUGGAAUUCCUGGUGUAGCGGUGAAAUGCGCAGAUAUCAGAGAGGAACACCGAUGGCGAAGGCAGUCUUCUGGGCCAAAACUGACGCUGAGGAGCGAAAGCGUGGGGAGCGAACAGG